rnacentral:rRNA from 1 species
UGAUGACGGUACCGUUUGUAAGCUCCGGCUAACUCCGUGCCAGCAGCCGCGGUAAUACGGGGGGAGCAAGCGUUGUUCGGAUUUACUGGGCGUAAAGGGCGCGUAGGCGGCCAGCNCAAGUCAGUUGUGAAAUCUCCGAGCUUAACUCGGAAAGGUCAACUGAUACUGNGCGGCUAGAGUGCGGAAGGGGCAACUGGAAUUCUUGGUGUAGCGGUGAAAUGCGUAGAUAUCAAGAGGAACACCUGCGGCGAAGGCGGGUUGCUGGGCCGACACUGACGCUGAGGCGCGAAAGCUAGGGGAGCGAACGGGAUUAGAUACCCCGGUAGUCCUAGCCUUAAACGAUGAAUGCUUGGUGUCUGGGGUUAUAAAGUCCCCGGGUGCCGUCGCUAACGCUUUAAGCAUUCCGCCUGGGGAGUACGGUCGCAAGACUGAAACUCAAAGG